rnacentral:rRNA from 1 species
GACGAACCGUGCGAACGUUGUUCGGAAUCACUGGGCUUAAAGGGCGCGUAGGCGGCCGCUCAAGUCCGGGGUGAAAGCCCCCAGCCCAACUGGGGAAGUGCCUUGGAUACUGAGCGGCUCGAGCGGGGUGAGGGGCAUGUGGAACUUCCGGUGGAGCGGUGAAAUGCGUAGAUAUCGGAAGGAACGCCGGUGGCGAAAGCGACGUGCUGGACCCCCCCUGACGCUGAGGCGCCGAAAGCCAGGGGAGCGAACGG